GACUUGCGGUGCUCGAAAGUCGUGGAUUUUUCAGAGUAACUUGAGCAACGUUAUGCUGGAAUGGUUCUUGUGAAGAUGCAGUGGCAGUGAUUCUACGAGAGUUUCACAGUGGACAGAUUCUGCAGAUUCUGCAUGGUGAUGAGGAAAGAGAUCCAAGACAAGGAG